CUUGUCUGAAUAUGGGGGGACCAUCCUCCAAGGCUAAAUACUCCUGAAUGACCGAUAGUGAACUAGUACCGUGAGGGAAAGGUGAAAAGAACCCUUAUAAAGGGAGUGAAAUAGAAUCUGAAACCGCUUGCAUACAAGCAGUAGGAGCAUGAUUUAGUCAUGUGACUGCGUACCUUUUGUAUAAUGGGUCAGCGAGUUAUUUUUAGUGGCGAGGAUAACUGAAUAAGGGAUCCGUAGCGAAAGCGAGUUUUAAUAGGGCGACUAGUCGCUAGGAGUAGACCCGAAACCGGCGCGAUCUAUCCAUGGCCAGGUUGAAGAUUAGGUAGUACUAAUUGGAGGACCGAACCCAAUACUGUUGCAAAAGUAUGGGAUGAGCUGUGGAUCGGAGUGAAAGGCUAAUCAAGCACGGAGAUAGCUGGUUCUCCCCGAAAACUAUUUAGGUAGUGCCUCGUGUAUAACUCAUUGGGGUAAAGCACUGUUUCGACAAUGGGGGUUUUACGACCUUACUGACUCGAUGCAAACUCAGAAUACGAUGAAGUUCGAUCACGGGAGACACACUGCGGGUGCUAAGGUCCGCAGUGGAAAGGGAAACAGCCCAGACCGCCAACUAAGGUCCCAAAGUCAUAGCUAAGUGGGAAACGAAGUGGGAAGGCCCAGACAGCCAGGAGGUUGGCUUAGAAGCAGCCACCCUUUAAAGAAAGCGUAAUAGCUCACUGGUCGAGUCGGCCUGCACGUAAGAUUUAACGGGGCUAAGCUAUGCACUGAAGUUGCGGAAUAUAUUUAGUAUAUUGGUAGGGGAGCGUUCUGUAAGCCGAUGAAGGUGAAUUGAGAAGUUUGCUGGAGGUAUCAGAAGUGCGAAUGCUGACAUGAGUAACGUAAAAUAAGUGAGAUUCUUAUUGGCCGAAAACCCAAGGGUUCCUACGCAAUGUUAAUCAACGUAGGGUAAGCCGGCCCCUAAGGCGUAGCUGAAGAGUGAAGUCGAUGGGAAACAGGUUAAUAUUCCUGUGCUGCUUAUAUGAACGAAGGAGGGACGGAGAAGGUUAGGUAGGCCUGGCGAAUGGUUGUCCAGGUGAAAGUAUGUAGGUAGGAAUGCUAGGCAAAUCCGGUGUUCUGUUGAUCUGAGAUACGAGACGAAGUUAAACUUGUUUGACGAAGCUAUUGAUACCAUGCUUCCAGGAAAAGCUUCUAAGUAUAUUGUAUAAGUGACCGUACUGUAAACCGACACUGGUGGGUAGGUAGAGAAUACUAAGGCUAUGAGAUAACUCUGGUGAAGGAACUAGGCAAAAUGACACCGUAACUUUGGAAGAAGGUGUGCCCUUGAUGGUGAUGAGACUUGCUCUUUGAGCUGUUGGGGGUUGCAGAUACCAGGUGGCUGCGACUGUUUAUCAAAAACACAGCACUCUGCGAAAUCGUAAGAUGAAGUAUAGGGUGUGACGCCUGCCCGGUGCUGGAAGGUUAAUUGAAGGGGUUAGCGCAAGCGAAGCUCUGGAUCGAAGCCCCAGUAAACGGCGGCCGUAACUAUAACGGUCCUAAGGUAGCGAAAUUCCUUGUCGGGUAAGUUCCGACCUGCACGAAUGGCGUAACGAUGGCCACACUGUCUCCACCAGAGACUCAGUGAAAUUGAAAUCGCUGUGAAGAUGCAGUGUACCCGCGGUUAGACGGAAAGACCCCGUGAACCUUUACUAUAGCUUUGCACUGGACUUUGAAUAUUUAUGUGUAGGAUAGGUGGGAGACCAUGAAGCAGCUACGCCAGUAGUUGUGGAGUCGUCCUUGAAAUACCACCCUUGAAUAUUUGAAGUUCUAACUCAGGAGAGAUUCGAGGACAGUGUAUGGUGGGUAGUUUGACUGGGGCGGUCUCCUCCUAAAGAGUAACGGAGGAGUACGAAGGUGCACUCGGUACGGUCGGAAAUCGUGCCAAGAGUAUAAAGGCAAAAGUGCGCUUGACUGCGAGAGUGACGGCUCGAGCAGG
rnacentral:rRNA from 1 species